rnacentral:rRNA from 1 species
GAUGAACGCUAGCGGCAGGCUUUAACACAUGCAAGUCGAGGGGCAGCACGAGGUAGCAAUACUUUGGUGGCGACCGGCGCACGGGUGCGUAACGCGUAUGCAACCUAACCUUUUAAACAAGGGGGCGAUAAACACUGAGAAAAUUGGUACUAAAUUCCCCAUAACAUUCGAGAAGGCAUCUUCUUGGGUUAAAAAACUACCGGUGGUUAAAGAUGGGCAUGCGUUGUAUUAGCUAGUUGGUGAGGUAACGGCUCACCAAGGCAACGAUACAUAGGGGGACUGAGAGGUUAACCCCCCACAUUGGUACUGAGACACGGACCAAACUCCUACGGGAGGCAGCAGUGAGGAAUAUUGGUCAAUGGACGCAAGUCUGAACCAGCCAUGCCGCGUGCAGGAAGACGGCUCUAUGAGUUGUAAACUGCUUUUGUACUAGGGUAAACGCUUCUACGUGUAGGAGCCUGAAAGUAUAGUACGAAUAAGGAUCGGCUAAACUCCGUGCCAGCAGCCGCCGCAGUAAC